rnacentral:lncRNA from 1 species
UAAUGUGCAUGUUGGUGGAUCCGGGUUCGGGUCUCCAAGAGGGUCGAUGAUCCGAUCCGGAUUCUGUAGUCUUCCAUCCACUCCAAGCGGUGGUCCUACUCGUUCUGGACUCCGUUACCGUGAUGUCUGGGAAAAUGUUUGCGAGGAGGAGCCAGCUAUGGAGAGAGUGGAGUCUGGAAGGGACCUGCGGACAAAGAUGUUUGAGAAAUUGAGCAAAGAGAACUCGCUGGGACGGGUCGACCCAGAUCCAGACCAGUCUUCCAAAGCUCCGGAUGUUGGAUGGGUCUCGGAGCUGUUGAAGUGAGGUGAGCCAAGUGGCUCGUAUAAUUGUUUAAUUAUUUAUUCGGCAAAGUCUAUUUUGGUUUCCCCUCUCAUUGUAAAUAGUGGUUAAAAGAACUGAGGUAAGCUGGGAAUUAAUUAGGCUUCUGUGUCAGCAAAUUGAAAAUUCUGUUAAAUGUAUAUAUUUAAUUAAAAGAAAUUAUUGAAGAAGAAGAAUCUAACCUCUGGGCGACGAGAAUUCCUUGGAGAAUUAUCGAAGAGCAGAAUGAGAAUUCACAAGGCAAUCGAAGGUGGAAGGAGAAAUUGUAUACGGGCUGGGGCAGAAAAUGGAUUAUUCCCAUAUGUCCUUUUUGUUUAAGAGGUUUGUUAUCUUGUUAUUAGUAAGCGUUGAAG